CUUUUUUUAAAAUGUUUAUUUAUUUAUUUUGGGGGGGGGGGGAGCAGAGAGAGAGGGUAAGAGAAUCCCAAGUAGGUUGUGUGCUAUCUGUGCAGAGCCCAAUAUGGGGCUCGAUCUCACAAACUGUGAGAUCAUGACCUGAGCUGAAAUAAAGAGUCAGAGAAUCAACCAACUGAACCACCUAGUGCCCCUCCCCUUACUCCUUGGUACACUUUUAUAAUAACUGCUUUACAGCCUUGGUUAUCUAAUCCCAACAUCUACAUCAUGUCCGCAUUGUCCCCUGUUACUGUCUUUUCACAUGUGAGUUGAGAUUUUCCUGGUUCUGUGUAUGCUGAAUAAUUUUGAAUUGUAUUGCAGACAUUUAGAAGAUUUUUUUUUAUUUAAAAAUUUUUCUUUUAAUUUUUUUUUUUUUUUUUUUUUUGAGAGAGAGACAGAGCAUGAGCAGGGAAUGGACAGAGAGAGGGAGACACAGAAUCUGAAGCAGGAUCCAGGCGCUGAGCUGUCAGCACAGGGCCUGACAUGGGGCUUAAACCCAUGAACCGUAAGAUCAUGACCUGAGCUGAAGCCGGACACUUAACUGACUGAACCACCCAGGCGCCCCAAGAAUAUUAUAAGACUCUUGGGGGUGCCUGGAUGGCUCAGUUGGUUAAGCAUCUGACUUUGGCUCAGGUCAUGAUCUCACAGUUCAUGGCUUCGAUCCCUGUGUUGGGCUCUGUGCUGACAGCUGGGAGCCUGGAGCCUACUUUGGAUUCUGUGUCUCCUUCUCCCCGUGUCCCUACCCUGCUCACACUCUGUCUCUCUCUCUCUCUCUCUCUCUCUCUCUCAAAAAUAAAUAAACAUUAAAAAAAAUUGAAAAAAACAUUAGAAUAUCAUAAUUCUCUAGGUUUUGUUUAAAUCCUGUGCAGGAUAUUAAUAUUUUUGUUCUAGCAGGCAAUAGAGGUGGUUGGGUUCAGGCUACAAAUUCUAACCACUAUUUUGUAGUUUCCAUGUCAAUUCUGUUUUCAAAGCAUUUGCAGUGCUAUUUGGAUCUGUCUUCCGUGUGUGCCACAAUCUGGGACACGUGUGGUGGUCUGUCCUUCAGUUCAGUCCCAGAGUCUUCGCUGUGCUGUCUAGGUCUGUUCUGUCCUUGUGUAGCCUGAGGGGGAGCCUCAGAGUCUCUAAUCAGCUUUACCUGUUAACUUUCCUGAGUUUCUCCUUCUCCAUAAUCUCUGGUACUUGCCGGCUCCCUGGACUUCCUCUUUGAGUCCUAUAUCCAGAAAGCUAGUGCUUUAGCUUUGCUGUUGCACAGCCUACUUCCUGGGAUAGGCCCGUGUCUGGGGCCAAGCAAUGGAGGGACAGAGAGGAAGCACCGACUAUGAUUUGUACCUCCUCCUGGAACCACAGCUUCUCUGUAGAAGAAGGUUUCCCUCCCUCAGAGAUGUUGGUGCCUGUGGGCCCCCACUGCCGUUGGAGGCAUUGCUACUGCUGGGGUGGCAGGAUUUCCCGGGGCCGGGGCACUAGAGAACAGAGGAAAGAACAAAAGAUGGCAGGCUUCCCUGAGACUCUCUGAGCCUUAGGAAAUGCUUUCCUGGUCCUUGAGCCAGAACAGAACUGAAGGGCUUCUUUAGGGCCCUGGUGCCCAUCCUGAGUUUUAGGCUGCUUUACAUCUAGGCCAGGGGGUUCUAGCAGGGGAAAAACAAAACAGAAAACACUCACUGCUGAUUCAGUGGUGCUUCGAAUCCUGGUCUUCUUUCCCAGUUCACCUGCUUCUAUUUAUGGACUCCUCAAAUGGCUGUUCCAUGUGUUCCAUCAGGGUUUAUAGCAGCAUUCAGUGAGAAAGGGUAGAAUGCACUUACUCCAUUGUACCUAGAGUUGGAAUAAUAUAUUUUAUUUGCUGUCAUGGGCUGAAUGUUCGUGUCUCUAGGAUUCAUAUGUUGAAGCCCUAACCCCCAAUAUGAUGGUAGUUGGAGAGAGGGCCUUUCGGAGGUAAUUGGGGUUAGAUGAGGCCACGGGGAUUGAGCCCUUCUGAUGGGAUUAGUGUCCUUAUAGAAAGGGCCACCAGCGUGUACUUGUUGUCAUGCUCUCUCUCCCUCCCACCCUCCGUGCCCUGUGAGGUCACAGAGAGAAGGUGGCCAUCUCCGGGCCAGGACGGGCACCCUCUCCAGGAAUUCAGUUGGCCACCACCUUGAUACUGGAUUUCACAGCCUUCAGAGCUAUAAGAAAAUAAAUUUCUGUUGUGUAAGCCAUCCAGCCUAAGGUAGUUUGUUGUGGCCAUCCAAGCUAAUUGAAGACAUUUGCCAAAAUACUCAUGAAAAAAAUUCAUGGCGCUCCACCUUGAUUGUGUCACUCUCCCCAACUCGUAGCCUUUCCGUGUAGUUCUGCAUAGUUCCACCGAACAUGUUUUCCCCAAGGUUUGCUAACAAUUUAUAUUUAGCUGAAUUUCCAGAAAGAGGAAACGAUUCCCCAAAACUAGACUGGUAGCUUUAGUGCUUUUUAUUGUUUAGUUAUAAUACCUCAAAUAUGUUUUCUGGUAUGUCAGUGUUUUGAAUUAAUUUACUGCUUGAUUGUUUGGGUCCUAGUCCCCUUGACUAAGUUUGCUUCAGAUUUCACUGUAAAUAAUCUCAAGGCUAAGUGACCUACGUCCUGCAUGGACCAAUUCUUUUUAUUAUUUAUUUCAUGCCUUGGAGAAGCUUAUUUCAAAGAGCAUGUGGUUAGAAGGCCACAGUCCCCGCUUCUCCCCCACACAGCACGGUAAAACACAGGACACGAGAGUAGGUGCCGGAUAAACCAUACUUGAGUGGGGAGCAGAAAGGAAUCACGGGACCCUUCUCUGCUCACUUAACAGAAGCCAUCUCAGGUGUUCCCUUUUCCUUUUCCCUUUGCCGCAGUCUUCUACCUCCGUGAACUUGUGCUAAUCGGUAGAGCUGGCUUUGAAGAGCUGCUGAUCGUUGAGGAUCGUUGAGGAUCGUUGAGGAGGUACCUGUAUGAAGGCUGCUUCGCUCUGGAGGUUUGGACCUGUGUGGGCAUGUCUGGUAAAAUGAUAGGAUGGAUCUGCUGGGAGAGGACUUGCAGAAUACCGGGGACCUUAGCGAGAAAAUUCCUGAAGGUGGAAGACUGUAGAAAUGGUAAUAAGGCCUCAGCUGUUAUAAGAGAGGGGUGACUUCAGUACUUGUGGUAAAAAGGCAGGAUAGGUAGGGUCAAGUGGUAAGAAAUACAGGAGACAUAUUUGUGUAGAUCACUUAACAGUAGUAUGUAAUCAGUAAAUACUCAUUAUUAUUUGUAUUAUAGUACUCACCCCAGGCUGUCCCUAUAAAAACACAUAUGCAGAGACCUAAGAGAAAAAGUGUGAAGAUGCCAGAAGUCUUCAUCAGACCAUAUAGAUGUCCUUUAAUGACCUUAUAGAUUGCUAAAUGUUACCAACAAAUGUUAAUAAUGAUAAGUGGUGGUAGAUAAUAUCACUAUUGCUCUUAUCUCCAUUUUUUGUUGUCAUUAAUUUUAUAUUGUGGUCAGUUGGAAAACAGGACUUAAUUUUGAAAAUAUUCAAAUAUUUAAGUAGAUUUUUCUUUCUUUUAUCAGUUUUUAUUUUAUUUUAAAUUUUAUUUUUUAUUUUUUAAAAUUUACAUCCAAAUUAGCAUAUCGUGUAACAAUGAUUUCAGGAGUAGAUUCCUUAGUGCCCCUUACCCAUUUAGCCCAUUUCCCCGUCCCACAACCCCUCCAGUAACCCUCAGUUUGUUCUCCAUAUUUAUGAGUCUCUUCUGUUUUGUCCCCCUCCCUGUUUUUAUAUUACUUUUGUUUCCCUUCCCUUAUGUUCAUCUGUUUUGUCUCUUAAAGUCCUCAUAGCAGUGAAGUCAUAUGAUUUUUGUCUUUCUCUGACUAAUUUCGCUUAGCAUAUUACCCUCCAGUUCCAUCCACGUAGUUGCAUUAAGUAGAUUUUUCUAAGCAGAAAGAGGAACGACAUUCACGCAAAUAGGCAAAGAACUUAAUUGUCAUUGGUGGGCAUUAUGGAUUUUGCAUUCUUACAGAAGCCAACUCGUGAACUGUGAUUUUAUUAUCACAGAAAUUAAUUUCUUGCCAGGAGUCACUUUCUGCUUUUCUCAGCAUUUGAUAUAUGCAAGAUCAUUAUUUCCUGUAUCCACCCUAAAUAGCUUACUUCUUUCCAGGCAAGUAGAGAUUUCAGAAAGACGAUGGGGAAAUUCUUUUCCUUCUGAUUGGUUCUUUGGCCCUUUUCAUACCCCUCCCCCACUCCCUGCAGGGGGUGGUCAUUAAAAUGCCUCAGACAACUGUGGAGCCUUCAGGAUGGUAACUGCGAUAUGAUCAUGUUACACACCCAUUCAAAGUUCUCUGCUCCAGGGUCAAGGUUUGGAUGAUGUCACACAGCCUGUGGAUCUCCUGCCUCCUGGACUGGUUUCUCUGUUGUGAGGAGGAUAGGAAAUGAGAGAAAGAUGAACCCACUGUAAGUCUGAGGAUGACAUUUAACUACAGUCUGGUAAAUUUUGAGAUAUUCCCAUGUUGAUAAAUUAAUCUAGUCCUUCUAACCUGGUAUGUAACACUCUCUUGCAUGAAAAUAUCACAUUUUACUUGAACAUAUUGAUGGACGUUUAGGUUCUGACUUUUUGCUCUUUCAGAUACUUGCGCGCACAUCCCUAUGUAUGUGUUUGUAUGACAUAUACGAACGUUCCUGUAGGAUGGGGGUCUUUAAACUUGCUAGCUUACCCCGCAACUUGGAAAAACUUCGCCUCCUUAUACAUUUAGAAUUGGAAUUAAACUUUUUACCAGGACUUCAACAUUAGACAUUUCUGAAUGUUGUCAACAAAUGUUAGUAAUAAAAACUGGUGGUAGGUAAUAUCAUUAUUGCUCUUAUUCCUGUUUUUUGUCGUCACUAAUUUUAUAUUGUGGUCAGUUGGAAAAUCAGAUUUAAUUUUGAAACUAUUCAUAUAUUUACAUAGAUUUUUCUAAACAGAAGGAGACGACAUAACUUUCAGUAGUUGCGAAGGAAUUAAUUUCCUUGUGAUGUAAACAUUAGCAUUUAAAAGUAGGAUUCUUCAGUGUAUCCAAUUGAGUGUAAAUACUCCAGUUGAGUGAUUUGAUACUCACUAUUAUCCAUCAAAUGUUAACAGUAUGAACAAGGUCUCUUACAGUGGGAAAUUUUACAUCACUUCUUUUUCUUUCUGCGCUUGAAUUUUCUUUCUACUGCUAAAAUUCUACAGAUUUUUAUCUGAAUGUAUUACACAUUAUGUGUGAAUGUUUUUUAUUGGUCACUUACCAUAUUUCCCUACGACACAAUGUAUAUAUAAAUUUUAAAUUAAAUUACAUUAACUUUCCUUGACCAUAAUACUCCUAAUGGUUAAGGUUUUUUCUGAAUCAUCAUUAUUUUUAGUUCAUAUUUGACCAGUGAAGUGCUUUGAUUUUAUUUUAUUUAAUUUUUUUAAAUUUACAUCCAAAUUAGUUAGCAUAGAGUGCAACAAUGAUUUCGGGAAUAGAUUCCUUAAUGCCUCUUACCCAUUUAGCCCAUCCUCCCUCCCACAGUCCCUCUAGUAACCCUCUGUUUGUUCUCCAUAUUUAAGAGUCUCUUAUGUUUUGUCCCCCUCCCUACAAUAAAGUGCUUUUAAAGGUUAAUAAUUAUUAAACAUAAGUUAACAGAGCUUUAAAAAUUGAUUUUUUCCUUCUUCUGAUUAAUUAAUUAACCAACUAACUAAUUAAUUAAUUGAUGUAUUUAUUUUUCUGAGGCCAAAGUUUACCAUUUCAUCUCCUGAGAAGAUUCUAAAUAUGCCUAUUUGUGCAACGCUCUUAUUUACAUUUGUUUAUUUAUGUAUUUAUUUAGUUAGUUAGUUAGUUUCAAGUGUUUAUUUAACUUCUAGUUAGUUAUAUUGGUUUCCGGAGUAGAAUAUUGUGCAAUAUUGGUUUCAGGAGUAGAGCCCAGUGAUUCAUCACUUACAUAUGACACCCACUGCUCAUCACAAGUGCCCUCCUUAGUGCCACUCACCCAUCUGGCCCAUCCCCCACUAAGAAAUUCAUUUGUAGAUCAUGAAUGAAUUUUACUUAUUUCUAGAAGGAGACAGGGUCAGCAUCAGUUUAUCCCCAGGUUUUGCUUUUCAUAUUGUAAACACUGAGGAAUAUUGUUCACAUAAAUAAGUAGAUGGCCAUUGGAAUAAAUUGUGUAGGUGACGUUGCUCAUUUAUUUGAAAGCUUUCCAAAUUAUAUGCCACACAUCACUUAGUGGUCUUAUUUUUAACGAUUUAUCAGUGAACACUUUGCACGGGUCUUCUGUCAGUUCACUAGGAAACAGGUAAUGUUAGGCUAACAUUCAAAAGUGUUUGUUAGUUGGUAAACUCAUUCAGCUUCUCAACAUUAAUAUUGUUUCCGGUUAUCUCUAGCUCCUUUCAGGUUUUUGCCUUUGGGGCAAUAUAUCGUUUAGCAUUCACAUGGAGACCGGUAUCCCUUUCUGUUUUAAAGUGGAGAAAGGGCCUCUGUGAAGGGGAGGUAGGGACUAGGAACCACGGGGGCCACCUAACUACACUGGUUCUCAGGGAGUUCAGCUGUAGGCCGAACGUACAUGGAAGAUAAAAGUCUGGAAUUACCCGCUGAAAACUGGCUGCGGGCCUCCGUUCUCUAGUUUGAAGCUCCUACUCUGAGGUUGAUACCCAGCACCGGAAUUGCUAUCUCUUAACCUGUGUGGCCGGUUCAUCGAACCCACGUCGCUGAGGACAUGGCUCUGCCUCCCAAGGAUUCAGGAGAAGUCCCCUCUGAAGGUCCCCAUAUGUGAGUCAAAGGAGUUUUCUAACUUUAGGAAAAUCCCAUGGUCAUUGGAUUCAAACAGCUGGUGGCCGACGAGUGGUACGCACCAGAGUUCGAUGAGACUCUUCAUCCGUUUCUAUGAUUUGCUUUGUGACACCCUAUUUUUAUUCAUAACUUUCUUUCUUUUAAAGGGCGUCCUUAGUCUACAUCAACUGAGGUGGGACAAAAACAGCACUGUACUUGGUUUGUGCUCUGUGCCCUGAAGCAGAAAUGCCUUUAAUUGUUCAUUGCAAAAUAAACAGAUGUCUAGUGGAGAAGGUUAUUAAAAAUAUUUUGUGCAUUUUGGGAGAACUGGAGGUCAGGAUGGCUUGACCUAGCAUCUCACAGCAAACCCAAGUCAAGUAAGCCACCAAGGUAACAUAGCCUAUUCUUAGGGCAAAAUUUUCUGGUUGGCUAAUUUCUGGAUAUUAUUAAAAGGGACAGUACAUUUUGAAAAUAGAAUGAUGGCUGUCCUCAGGCAGGAGAAUUCUACUUUAAAAACAGAAGAUUUAAUGUGCCAGAUUCACAUCAUAAGGAAAGGCUGCCCAGUUAAUAGGACAAAUGCCUCCACAUUGUAAAAUAAACAGGAUUUGAAAUGCAGACAGUCUUAUUUUGCAGUUACAAGUUAUUUUAAAAAUCUUUAUAAAGACCUAAUACUAAAAGAAUAAAACGUUUAACAGCAAGUCCACAAGAACGCAUUAGUCAUAAGGUACAUCUUAAUUAAGGCCUCUCUUCUACUUAGUUCAACAGGUGGCCUAGGAAGGGGGUGGUCCCAUGAGCUCUAGCAGCCAGGGGCCCGGGACCUCACUCUGGGAGACAGCCAGGACAAAGGUUUUGCUUUCUUGGAAGACGAUCCUCGUGUAAAGAAGGCUGACCGCCUUGCGGAAGAGAAAGGCCUGACAGAUGCCUCUAGAGGAUGAGACCCUCAGGAGGGAUAUUGGUCCAGCCCCUCGCCAUUGCAGCACUCCUGCCGAACCACCAGCCAUGUGGCGCAAGUCAUCUUGGGUCCUCUAGCCCAAGUCAAGCUGCCCCAGCCGACACUCCAUGAAGGAAAGACAAGCUGUCACUGUCAUGUUCUGUCCAGAUGGCAGAAUGGUGAGCAAGAAAAUGGUUGAUGCUCUUUUAAGCUGCUACAGUUUGGGGUAGUGCGUUAUGCACAAUAAAUAACAGAAAUUGAUGUCUGAAAGUUGGGUGCUGGCACAACAAAAAUCUAAACAAAAAUCUAAAAACAAAAAAUCGAAAACACGAGGCAUCAGCUUUGGGACAAGGCAUUGGGUAGAGAUUGCGGAGGUGAUGAAGGAUGAAGGAACUCUCUCUCUGUCUCUCUCUUUUUUUUUUUUUUAAAUUAACUUCGUCUUUAACAUUUUUAUUUUGAAACAAUUUUAGACUUACAGAAAAGUUGCAGAAACGAUAGAGUUCGUGUACCAGAGUUCACCCAGCUGCCCUAAUAAUAAUAAAUUACCCAAAGCAGGAAAUUAACAUAAACUACAGACCUUAAGUGAACUUCACCAGCUUUUCUGGUGAUGUUCUUUUUCCAUUUCAGAAUCCAACCUAGGAUCCUGCAUUUGCAUUUAGUUGAUAUCAUCUCCUUAGUCUGGGAAGGAGGAUCUUAGUGGAGGCUCUGAGAGUGGCGAGUAAAUUGUAUUAGAGGCUGGAGAAACGGUGCUAUAUGGUGGCAAAAUAUUUGGUAGUCCUUGUGUGCAGUAAAACAGAAGAUGAAAAAUGUACCUAAUGAACUUGUAAAUCUGGCAACAGGGAUUUUCAUGCUGAGUGUUCAAAGUAUCAUUUGGCUUUUAGUGAUGUGUGAUGGUGUUACGAGAGAGAUAUGUUAAAAAAGGAACUAUUCAGUUUUCAAGCAGAAUGUAGAGGAAAUACACGGGGCCUAGGAGAUUCUCUUGAGUCAGCAAUAGCCUCAAAGUAAGAAAUGGCCUCAGGGGGCCUGUUAAAUGUGGCCUCCAGGUAAUGAUCCAAUCAAGACUCUUAUGUUAAGGCCUGUCAACAUUUUAAGAUGUUGUCUCAUAGACCCUCUCAGCUAGUCAGAAGGGCUUCUAAGAAGAAUCUUCAGAGGAGUCCAACAGCAGCUUCCUUGACAAGGCCCAAAGCAGGCAGAAGUUUGUUUUUGGAAGAAUUAUAGAUGUGGCUUUGUGGGCACAGUUGUUGUGGGCAAGGAGUAAACUCCAAUAAGAGUCCUAGAAAACCCACAACAUUUUAAUGACAAUUAUAUUGAUAAAACCACCACCGGCCUAAACUAAAGAAGAGACGGUUUAAAUGUAAAAAAGAGCCACUAGGCUCCCCAAGUUUCUAUGGAUAGGACACAGGCUGAGAGAAGCCGUCCCACUGUAAAGGACAGGCCGUGUCUUAUGGAAAAGGAAGCCUCAGAGGUCACAGCCUGCCCCUGAGCGCAGGGAGCCCAGAACGGUGGUCCGGGAAGCUCCCGGGGAGAAGAACCAGACCCUGCUGGAGGUGUGGGUCCCCAGAGUAAGGCUGCCAGUGCUAGGCUGGCUUUGGGGACUGCUAUGGAUGGCGGUUGCUUCGUGCCUGCCCUGUUGCCAGCCUCGGACACGAGUUCGUGUCAUGGUUACCCUACCCCAUCUCAGCACUGUCCGCUGUGAAUGGAACUGGUCCUUUUAGCUCACAGGUCUUCAGAGAAGCGGAGCAGCAUCCAAAAUGCCUCAUCCACACCUGGGCCUAGCGCGUGUCCUCAGAGCCGGCGCUACGCAGAAUGACAAUUUCCGGGGAGGGACGGGGCGGAUUUUGCAGGUCAGCGUGUGGGUGUGUGCGGGUGUGAACUGUUAUGUUGGGAGUGUGUCCCAAUAUGACCGCCCAUAAUUCCUCC